rnacentral:rRNA from 1 species
UACAGAGGGUGCGAGCGUUGUUCGGAAUUAUUGGGCGUAAAGGGCGCGUAGGCGGUGCGGUAAGUCACCUGUGAAAUCUCCUGGCUCAACUGGGAGCUUGCAGGCGAAACUGCCGUGCUGGGGUGUGGGAGAGGUGCGUGGAAUUCCUGGUGUAGCGGUGAAAUGCGUAGAUAUCAGGAGGAACACCUGUGGCGAAAGCGGCGCACUGGACCACAACUGACGCUGAGGCGCGAAAGCUAGGGGAGCAAACAGG